rnacentral:rRNA from 1 species
AACGAACGCUGGCGGCGUGCUUAACACAUGCAAGUCGAACGCGAAAGGGACUUCGGUCCUGAGUAAAGUGGCGCACGGGUGAGUAACGCGUAGAUAACCUAUCUUCAUGUCUGGAAUAAUACGCCGAAAGGGGUACUAAUACCGGAUACUCUUGCUUUAUAUAAGUUUUGCAAGCAAAGGUGGCCUCUGCAUAUGCUACUGCAUGAAGAGGGGUCUGCGUACCAUUAGCUAGUAGGUGGGGUAAUGGCCUACCUAGGCGACGAUGGUUAGCGGGUCUGAGAGGAUGAUCCGCCACACUGGCACUGGAACACGGGCCAGACUCCUACGGGAGGCAGCAGUGAGGAAUAUUGCGCAAUGGGGGCAACCCUGACGCAGCGACGCCGCGUGAGUGAGGAAGGCCUUCGGGUCGUAAAGCUCUGUCAAAGGGAAAGAAGUGCAUGAUGGCUAAUACCUGUCAUGUUUGACGGUACCCUUAAAGGAAGCACCGGCUAACUCCGUGCCAGCCGCCGCUGUAAAAC